CGUCCAACUUUAGCACACCUUCACAAGGGGGAAGUCGUAGGUUCGAUUCCUGCUGUGCCCACCA
rnacentral:tRNA from 1 species